UUCUUCUACGAGAAAAAUCCCAACACAGAGUCUCUUUAUCUUCCCAUUAAUUCUUGUUCUCGUCCCUAGCACAACAAUUCCGCUUCAGAUCUCGGAUUCACACACUCCAGCCAUAUCAUCAUCUGAAUCUCCUCUGAGUCUUUCAUCUCCAAUUCCUCAGAUCCGAAUCCAGAAACAUCGCUUCUUGGAUUCUUCCUCCAUCCCCGUCAUCUUUGUCCGUGUUGCCUCCAUGGCUCCAUCAUCUUUUCUUAGAUCUGUUGUUGUUUCCACAUCUUAGGCAGUGAGUUUGUCCCUAAUUCUUCUUGGUGUUUGAGAUUUUGAUUUAGGGUUCACCAAUAAUCUGGAAUUUUGGAGUAACGCGAAAGGAGAGUCUCCAAAUUACGAGAGUGGACAGAUCUUUCAAGACCACACAACCACAUCACUCGCCACAGAUGAAAUGUCAGCUAUUGUGGUUGAGACUUGUAAAGCUGGUUAUGUCAGAGUAACUACAAACUCCAUAGUGGCUUAAAGGACUCAAGGCUCAACUCACCCGAGGUUGAAGCUGAUUACGUAAUGACAUCAAAAAAGUUUCAAGAGUGUGGAAAAUUUACAAGUUUAAAUACAAGAGUUGUUUGAAUUUAUUUUAAUUAUUUAUUUUUACUUUGUAAUAUAGAUAUUUUG